CCCUCCCCUCGUCGCGAAGCGAUGGUGACGUCACCGCGCGGCUGGUUCCCGGGGAGACGCGGCGCGGGGCGAGUGGAGACAGCGGCGCAGCAAUUGGAGAGUACAGCCAUGUCUUUAGCUGCAUGCAGUGAGGCAUGGGGCGUCUGCGAGAAUGCCGGCAAUUCACGGAGCAAGACCAGAGGUCGAGCCAUGCUGCCCACGUCUAGAGAGGUGGAGGUGAAUGUGAGUGUGCGCCACAUGUACCUGUACAGCCGCGAGGUGCGUGGGGUGGUGGCACGUCUCCGCGCCGAGUGUGGGUCACUGUCCGUGCACGCAGUUGCCUUGGCCCACACUCAAGGUGAUCUGAACAAGGCCUUGGGACACGUUCGUAAUGAGAAACAGGCAAAUGUGCAAGCUUCUAGCAUGCGAUCGCGACGACCUACACGUGAGGUGGUAAGUCUUGAAUAAUAAUAAUUUAGUUGACAGUAAUACCCCGGUUUAUGUCGGGGAUGCUUUCCUUAAAUGUGCGACAACGAAUACCGAAACGACGUAAAUCAACGCAAUUUUGCCACGAGGACUAAACAAUGCUGAAGCCGUGUUAAUGCGUGCAUCUUCAUCCUAGACGUAUCCGCAACAUUACAUUCAAUUACUAAAAAUACUACACUCAAUACUAGUUUCGGCAGUAAACGUUAAAACAUUAUUAGCAGUACAUUAUGAAAAUAAAAUCACUAAAAUAUCAUGCGUAAUUACUAUAUUGUACUCCAUAGUACAGAACAUUUCUUUAUGCGCGAUGCAAAGUAGUUUGUGUACAGGGUUAGGUGGAGGUGAAGGUUGAGAGGCGACAGUUACGAGAAAGGGCAGACGAUGCUGUCAGCGACAUGAGUGUGGGUUGAGGCAAUGCUAGUCGGGUAGCGGUGGUGUUGAUAAUGAAGUGACAACGUAUUUUCUAAACGAUAUAAAAGGGGGAGGUGUAAAAUCGCAAGGCUUACAGCGCAAGGCUAUCACGAAGGCGCAGUACAGCACAUACAGUAGUCUGCAGUAGCUACAUGUUGUGAUGUUGCUUUGUGGAAUGCCAAUUGAGGAAUUUGUCGGUCAUUUGUGAAUUUGGAAAAUUUGAACCGUGACAGCAACACACAUUGGCCUACUCUUAUCAAACUAGCUUCUUUGCCCAUCCUAGGACGGAAGCUGUAAUAUUUACGAAAAAAAUUAGCAGAGUAUAAUUGUAUCUUGUGUUAAUUGAAUGGCAGUGAAUCUUGCACGAAAUUAUGUCAUAAAACACUUCACUGCAUUUCACUGUAGCACUGUAUAUAACUGACCUUCAAUUUGUUCUAAUUCACUGCUCUGAUACUUUAUUAUUUUCUGCUUUCGGUCGCUGGGGUGCAAAUAAAUUGGAUUGCAAUACAAUAUCUGGAAAAUCACCGAGAAAUGUCUAUUUAACCAAAAUGUAGAAGCAUAAAUUAGACUUAUCUUAGGAAAAAAUAUAGACCCCAAAUCCAAUUUUUUUCCACGUAGAAUUAUUUAUUAGAUUCAUUUUAAAUAAAGAAACGUGAAACUUAAAGCGAAUUUGCAACAAAUAAUAAUUCUGCUCUACCUUAAUGACGGGGGUGCGGCAUGUGGAGUGACGUCACGCGCGGGACACAAACUCCCUAAUUAAUAAUCAUGAGCGGAUGACGUCACUGAUGUGGACCACGCCACCCACCCCCUCAUUAAUAAUCAAGAGUGGAUGAUGUCAUUCCACAUGGAGUUCCCCCCCUGAUCAAUAAUCAUGAGCAGAUUCCGUCACUCCACAUGGAGCUCCCCCCCUUCAUCAAUAAUCAUGUAAUGAUGACGUCACUCAUGUGGACCCUGGCCCCACCCCCUCAUUAAUAAUCAUGAGCGGGUCUUUAUUUUCGAUUGAAUAUUUCAGAUUAACUGCAAUACACCCGUCCUUGGACGGGCUAUAGGCUACUUUUAUAAUAAUUUAGAAGCAAAAAUUAGACUUACCUUUUGUUUCAAGUGCUGAAGAAAUAAAUAAAGACACCAAAUACACUUUGUUGCUGCGUAGAAAUAUUGAUUUGAUUACAUUUCAAUAAAGAAACGUCAAAUUUAAAGUUAAUUUGCGUAAAACAAAUUAUUUCCAAUCAACCUGCGGGAAUGUAAAAAUCCACCCGCUCAUGAUUAUGAAUGAGGGGGGGGGUGUCUCUUUUGCAGUGACGUCACGUACGGAUGUAGCACUGCUGCGUAUAUUUAUUUUUUACUUUCUGUAAAGAAACGUCAUAUUUGAAGCAACUUUGCGAAAAAACUAUCUUUCCACUCGGCCUUCCGCGUGAGUGUAAAAAUCCACCCGCUCAUGAUUAUUUUAUUAUUAAUGACGGGGGAGGGGGUAUGUGGAGUGACGUCACGUGCAUUACACACAUUUCUGGGCUAUUAUAGUAGUAAUGCCAUCAGCGGGAAUUGUAACGUCCACUGUGAAGCGUCACUUUCAUGUAAAUUGCAUCAUCAGAAUCGCUGAUUUAGAUCUCUGUAUCGCGAGAAGAAAGCUCAAAGUGGUCCAUGGGCGACCGGGAUUUUGCUUUGGUGGCCAUUGGACUUUGGAACUCUCUGUCAAAGUUGGUCAGGGAGUCUAGUUCAGUUUGGGCCUUCAGGUCCCCCCUAAAAAUAUUUAUCUUUUAAGAAAGCAUCUCGAAUUUUAACUUAGCCACUUCUUACCCCCCCCCCCCCCCAUUGUAAGGCACCUUGAUGUUUUAUGCAUGCUGUCAGUAAAAGAGAAAAAGCAGAAAGAGAAGUGUUGUGAGCUGCGGUCCUGAGUGAAUGUGUGUACAGGUGAGCGUGUAGCUCGGUGAGUGAGCGUGUGGGUGAUUUGCCACAGUGUAAUGGUUAGCACACUGGAUUUGCGAUGAUCCUAAGGUCACCAGUUUGUUUCUAUGGCAGUUGAAACAACGGUGCAAGUCUCUCGAAUUCCCCCCCUCCACUUGUGUAAGAACUCAUCAUUCAUUCGUCGAAAAUGUAAAAAAACAAUUCAGGACCUGACUGUGACUCAGUGUGGAUUUCCUGGACUAAGUCUAUUUUAUUAUUAUAAAGAAUUAAAGGGGCUGUUUGAUGACACGACUAGAGAGCUGGCUUGCACUGCAGGGAACUUAAUAUUCAACUUGGAUUCCGCAACCCUCAAUGGCCAUUUUAAGUUAAAUUUGUGCAUGUAAGACUCGCACAAACAACCAUACCCAGAAACCCAUAGACCCCAACAGAGACCCAUACAUUCCUACAGACACUCAGACUCACACAGCGACCCCAUACUCACAGAGACCGAUAGACAUGCACAGAGACCCAUAGCCUCACACAGAGAUCCAUACACUCAAAGGCCCAAAAACUCACACAGAAAUCUAUAGAUUCGCACAGAGGUCAAUAGAAUUAGAAUUUGAAUAUUUAUUUAUACUGGAUGCAUCUGAUGAGCUAU